UCUCUCUCUCUCCAAUGAUUUUCUGGGUCUUUUUAUCACUCAUUGCUCGCCCUCCUCUGCAAGUUCUCCAUUUUCACUCUGAAAUUUCUCUCUUCGACUUCACUCCUUUGGACUACUAUAGUCCUUUUUAAUUUCACUCCCUCCACCCACCUGCAACUUCCUCUCCCUUCGCUCUAACUUCCUGGCCUGAAAUUAACUUUUCCCAACUCUUACCUAUUCAAAAAAAAAAAAAUAUUCCCAAUUCUGGUUUUCUUUUUGUGUAUGUGGUAUACGCUCGCCCGCGAGAAUGUGAGGGAGAGACGAAAAUGUGACGCAGGAAUCAGGAUCAAGGCUUGAAAACUUAGAAUCAGGUAGUCAUUUUCAUUUGAUGGUGGGUGGACCUUCCUUUACAGGUGAAAGAAAACUUUCUCUUUUGAUAAAGGUCAGUGUGUUGCCAUGCAUUUUUUGACAAAUAAUCAAUUUUGUAUAUUUAACAAAAAAGUUUACUUUUACAUGAUAUCAGAGCUUAAUUUUCGACACAGAUUUCGAUCAUCUUGCAUUCCAUCUAUGGACUUUUCAAGGUCUUUCGACUCUCAACGUUAAAAGGGUUGUCUCAAUUCGAUUGUCUCCUUUUAUAGUUAUCUAUUGUGACAGACACAGGUGCUUAGGUCUUAUUGAUUCCCACAAGACUUGGGAGAGGCUUCAUCAAUGGCAACAUUUUGGUCACCAUCAACGAAGAUUCAUUCAUCCGAUAUAGAUCACUACCUUGAAUGAACAUCUUAUCCUAUUUAAAAAUUUCUGACUCUCUAUGCCAUUGGGAAACCAAUUACCAAUGAGUCAAGGUUAUUUGCUUUGUUGUGACUCUUUUUUCUCUCUUUCUCUCUCUUCAUAUGAAAGGAAUCCGCUGCCCUUCUAUGUAUGA